GUGGGCGUAGCUCAGUUGGUAGAGCUAUGGAUUGUGAUUCCAUCGGUCGUGGGUUCGAGCCCCAUCGUCCACC
rfam:Marinomonas mediterranea MMB-1, complete genome.